UCAUGAAUCUUAUUCAUGUAGGUAAUCAGAUUAAGUUAGAAUUAACUUAUCAAAUAAGUAAUCCUAAUGAAAAGAAGAAUUAAGUCCAACCAUGUGCUAGCAAGGUUACCAUGGACCUAAUGGAUUUCUUGUUAGACGUGUGCCCUAGAUGCCAAAUCGGCUGACACAUUCCUGUAUAGAUCUAAGGACAAAUUUAUAAUUUUGACUAUAAAUGAAUAAAAGAAUUAUUCUUCUAUCACAUUGUGUACAUUGUGUCUGUGAUACAUUCUUUGAGUUAGUAGGAAUGUAAAUUCAUAUUUUCAAGAGUUGAAAAUUUAAGGCAUGAAUUUAUAUAACUAACUCAUAAACAGCUCCUGACCAUAGGAUCAUCAC
rnacentral:lncRNA from 1 species